CAGCAGCCGCGGUAAUACGUAGGUGGCAAGCGUUGUCCGGAAUUAUUGGGCGUAAAGGGCUCGCAGGCGGUUUCUUAAGUCUGAUGUGAAAGCCCCCGGCUCAACCGGGGAGGGUCAUUGGAAACUGGGAAACUUGAGUGCAGAAGAGGAGAGUGGAAUUCCACGUGUAGCGGUGAAAUGCGUAGAGAUGUGGAGGAACACCAGUGGCGAAGGCGACUCUCUGGUCUGUAGCUGACGCUGAGGAGCGAAAGCGUGGGGAGCGAACAGGAUUAGAUACCCGCGUAGUCCCUGUCUCUUAUAC
rnacentral:rRNA from 1 species